GGAAUUUUUGUCAAUGGGGGAAACCCUGAACAAGCAACGCCGCGUGAAGGACGAAGACCUUCGGGUUGUAAACUUCUGUCGGAGGGGACGAAGGCAUUCGCGGUUAAUACCCGCGGAUGUUGACGGUACCCUCCGAGGAAGCCCCGGCUAACUCCGUGCACGCAGCCGCGGUAAUACGGGGGGGGCAAGCGUCGUUCGGAAUUACUGGGCGUAAAGGUCGCGCAGGCGGACGGGAAAGUCCCUCGUGAAAGCCCACGGCUCAACCGUGGAAUUGCGGGGGAAACUGCUCGUCUUGAGUCCGGGAGAGGAGUGUGGAAUUCCCAGUGUAGCGGUGAAAUGCGUAGAUAUUGGGAGGAACACCGGUGGCGAAGGCGGCACUCUGGACCGGUACUGACGCUGAGGCGCGAAAGCUAGGGGAGCAAAC
rnacentral:rRNA from 1 species